GUGUGGUUAUUUAGUUGUAAUUCUCAAGAUCAGGUGGUUAUACCUGAAAAAUUUUUAAGAUCAGAUGGUUACAUCCAUAUAGUAUUGACAACUCUGGCCAGAUAGUCUUGACAGCUAUGGUCAGUUGGCGCCUGCUUUUUGAAUCUGAGCCCGAUCAAUCUACUUCCGAGGAGAGAUCAGAGAGCGUAGCAUGCCGACUAGGAAUUGGGACUAAGAGUUUUUCGAUCAAAGAUUGGACCAAACCUUUUCCAUUCAGGAUUCGAAGCAAGAACAUAUCGACGAGAGAUCGGAUAGAAUAGCCUCCGAUCAGGGAUCGGGACAGAUAUUUGCCGAUCAGAGGUCG
rnacentral:lncRNA from 1 species